rnacentral:rRNA from 1 species
AGGACGAACGCUGGCGGCGUGCCUAACACAUGCAAGUCGAACGGGGCCCGCAAGGGUUCAGUGGCGAACGGGUGCGUAACACGUGAAGAAUUUGUCCAACGGCGGGGGAUAGCCGGCCCAACGGCCGGGUAAUACCGCGUACGACCCUCGAGGGGCAUCCCUUGAAGGUGAAAGCCGCAAGGCGCCGAUGGAGAACUUCGCGGCCUAUCAGCUAGUUGGUGAGGUCAUGGCUCACCAAGGCGACGACGGGUAGCUGGUCCGAGAGGAUGACCAGCCACAUUGGGACUGAGACACGGCCCAGACUCCUACGGGAGCAGCAGUGGGAAUAUUGCGCAAUGGGCGAAAGCCUGACGCAGCGACGCCGCGUGUGGGAUGGACGGCCGUUCGGUUCGUAAACCACUGUCGCGAGGGACGAAGAUCGUGACGGUACCUACGAAAGGAAGCGACCGGCUAACUCUGUCGCCGAGCACGCCGC